CCGACCACUUUCCCUUAUCAGUUUUCCAGCCAGCUUUGUGACUGUAAAUGUUGGACGGAGAACUGAUAAGGGUAAGUGACUGG
rnacentral:pre_miRNA from 14 species